rnacentral:misc_RNA from 1 species
GCGCGCGAGAGCGAGACAGGCUGAGAUUUCGUUGCGAUAUUCCAACGAGCGAGAAACCGAAGCGUGCGAACACCGCGGUUGAGAUACUCGGCGCGCGGGCGCGAAUACGUGACGCGUGGGACGUCGCUAGGGAUAAACCCAGAAGUGUCGCGUCCCGUUCCGUACCGUCGCCGAUUAUCCGCGAGCGGCAGCCGCCGACGUCUUCGCCGUUGCUGCCGUUGCCGACGGCUCACUCGCGCGCGCGCGCGCGCGCGCCUGCCCCUUGCGGUCUUUUGGUGGCCGUCGCGUGGUGCGACGUUCGGUGCCGAGCACGUCGGUCCGAAGCGAAGUAGUGCGCGGAUCGCGCACGCGGCGCGAAUCGCCGCGUUCAGCCGAUGGAUUUUAAAUGAUCGACGACGGAGGAGCGGACGGGUGUCGUUGCCGUUGUCGUCGUCGCCGCGCGUUGGUGACGGUUUGGGGUGCUGCACGCUCGUCGGCGGGAUCGUCAUCGUUGUCGCGCCGAGCACAAAGGCUCGAGGGGCCCACCGCCGAUGUUGUAACGUACGGAUGCCAAGAUGGAAGAGCAGCGUAGCGUCCACGGCUGUAUCGGCGAUAUAAAUAGUGCGGAGGCGGCCAAAAUAAUUAUACCGCGCAAGAAGAGGACGUGCCUGGUCGGCGCGGCCUGCAACGAUCCCGCGCUCAACGCCGCCGCCCAGCAGCUGAAAGUGCCUGUGCUCAAGUCCGAAACCGGCGCGGAGCAUGUCGAGGACACGACCUACAACACUUACUUCAUACUCAAGCAGUUCGAGGGGGCCGAGUAUGAUGCCCUGUGCAAGAGCGCUCAUAGAAUACUGGGGCCUACAGCCCUGCUGCAGCUGGCGGAGAGGAAGGAAUCGCUGCCCAGUAUCAAGAGACCGAUGUACACGCAGUCCAUGGUGGGCGCGAUAGUGGUGUUUAGCGGUUUUCGAGCGCGCGAGGACGAGCUGCGCAAGUUAGCUACUAUGAUUCUUAGUAUGGGAGGUAGCAUCCGCAAGGACAUGGGCAUCAAAGUGACGCACCUUAUUGCAAACCAUUGCAGUGGGGAGAAGUACAGAUACGCCGACACAUUCGGGUUGCCGAUCAUGUCGGUGGAAUGGGUGGUAGCGUUGUGGAAUGCCAAAGAUGAUACCACCAUCUACGCGAGCAACGACGAACUGGUGGCGACUUACAAGUUGAAGCCGUUUUAUGGAGCGAGAGUGUGCUUCUCUGGCUUCCCCGAGGAGGAGAAGAAACACAUGUGCGAAGUUCUGGAGCAGCAAGGUGGCGAACCCACGGAGAUUGACGAUCCACAUUGUACACACGUGGUCGUAGACGAGUCCAACGUGAACGUACUACCGAAUUUCGUGACGGCGUCGGCCUUCAUAGUCAAGACCGGCUGGUUCUGGACGUCCGUGCAGAAUGAAGCUGCCGCCGACGAGAAGGAGUAUCUGUUCGAGCACUAUCUGGAGAACGCUCGAUCCCCUACUGCAUCCGGUAGGCGAGAGAGCCAACCGCUCGCGGCGCAGAACCUGGCGUUGCCCAAAUUUCCGCACUGGCUUCCGUUGUCGAAUUUGCUGCAGAAUGGAGCGGACUCGCCGGGCAGUGUCAGCGGGAGCUUCCUGGACUGCACGACGAGUCCAGAUAAACAAAUGAUAGAUGAUGUUCCAGAGGUCGAGUCUUCCGACACAGAAAGCACUCGGGGGAAUCUGUCGCAGCGUCACCAAGUGUUUCUCGAGUUGGUAGAGACUGAAAACAAUUAUGUAGGUGUCCUCAAUACGAUUAUGACGCUAUUCAAAUUGCCGUUGGAGAAUCUUAUAGGAAAGAGCGGUAAGGAGCUGCUAAAUAGUACAGAGUUGAAAAUUAUAUUCGGCAAUUUCCCGCCGAUCUACGACGUUCACAAGCAGCUGCUGGAGGCCCUGCAUUACUUCGCCACUUACUGGACGGAAGACGUCAGCAUCGGCAACAUAUUCCUGAAAUUCGAGCCGGAUCUUGUUAAGGCGUACGCACCCUACGUUAAUUUCUUCGAGAACACGAAGCAGAUGUUGGAGGAGUGCGAUCAGAACAAACCGCGGUUCCACGCGUUCCUCAAGAACUGUCAGACGAAACCGGAAUGCGGUCGACAGAGCCUGAAGGAGCUGUUAAUCAAACCAGUACAAAGGUUACCCAGUAUUAGUCUAUUGUUAAAUGAUAUUCUUAAGCACACCGACAAAAGUAAUCGGGACUACAGCGCGCUGGAAGCUUCUAUUAGCUGUAUUAAGAAGGUCAUGACGCACAUAAACGAGGACAAGAGGAAGACCGAGCGCCAAUUGGCGAUAUUCGACAUCUUCAACGAGAUCGACAAUUGCCCGCCGCAUUUAGUCUCUUCGCACCGUUCGUUCCUCAGUAAGUGUGACGUGGUCGAAAUAACGGAGGGCCUCAGCGGACGAGGCGAUCAUCUCGUGCUGUUCCUGUUCACCGACACCCUCGAGAUAUGCAAGAAACGCUCCAAGGCGUUCAACGCCUUGAAGAGUCCGAACACGAUAAACGGCCUGCAGUCGAACAGACUGAGCCAGGGUAAACCGUACAAGCACAUCAAGUUGAUGCCGCUCAACACCAUACGAAAAGUCGUGGACAUACGAGAGACUGAGGAAUGCCACAAGGUAUUCGCGCUCGUGGUACGAAGCACUCAGGAACUGAAAGAGAAGUUAUUCUCGUUCGUGAUCACCGAUGAGGAAGUAAAUAAAACGACGUUUUUGCAGACUCUGUGCAGACAAAUGGCAAUUGUCGUUCGUAUACCUGAUGCUGAUACUUUGCUCCUUAAAUAUGACUCGCAUCAGCUUGAAAUUGGUAGUAGCGACGUAACAUCGGGAACGUUAAAGAAAACAAUUAAAUUCGCGUCCCGCACGAGGGCGAGGGUCGGCCGAGCCUUCAGUUUUAACAAAACGCCAAGCAAGCUCAAUCGGGCGAUGUCGACGAUCAUGUCACCGUUUGGAGCGACGCACAGCCUUGCCCCGGCCAACCAGCAGAUAGCGCAGAUGCGGCUGGGCAGCUGCAACAACAUCAGCGUUAGUUGACAACUUUCUUGGCAUGAGUCUCCCAACCUCCCGGCCUCCGGCCGGCCUCUAUUCUGCUUUUUUCCUUUCUUUUUUUGCUUGCUUGCCCUCACCUUAUGACAGGAAGUUACCGCUUUUCCCAUUAAUUUUACUUUAACAAGCCUUAAAAACGCGCGUCGAGCGGGCUGUGAAAGAAACUAUGUCUAGUUUGUACGUACGUUGCGAUUUGUAAGAGAUUCGGACGGAGAAAGAGACAUCUCGUUUUCUAGACUUUUCUCUUGCACUUUGCCAUCGAGUUAGUUUUUCUGUUAUAAUGUUCGAUUCGAGACGCGGCGUAACAGAAUCAGAAAUACGUAUUUUCCUUUUUGUGAAGGGGUAGUAUUUAUAUUAAAUAUUCCAAAAUAUCGUCGUGUGUGAGCGUGUGUGUGUGUGUGUGUCCGCGCGACACACGUGUCUGGAGCGGCGCGUGAAUUCUUCAAUAUUACAUAUUGACAGAGUCAGCUAAAGCUUUUAUUAUUUUUUUCAUCCACAUAUACACGUACUCGAUUGAGAUAGUGUCUUUAUUUAUCAUUUUACGCGUCGUUUGGAAGUCUUUUAUUUUGUACAUCGCGCGCUCUUACCUUCAUUUGCAAUACCUGUGAGACACGUAUUUAUUUUCGUUGCUAUAUUAUUAUUAUUUUCAUGAAAAGAGGAAAAAUAAGAUAUAUUAAUGAUUACAAUGAACUUUCAUGCUGAUUCGAAACCGAUGGAUAAAUUAUAUUAGGGAUCAUGAGCUGGAUAACGGUGGCUCAAGCUCUCCAAAUAGAGACGAUGUUCUAGUAGCGCCCAUGUCGGAUCAGCCGACUCGAAAGGCCCUCAGUAUGGCUUCGCUGCGAAGGUUGUAAUUUUGUACGCGACACGUCAUACGCACUUCCUUUUUGUGCCACGGUCGUUUUACGUAUUGUUUUUUUUUAACAAAGAAACGUGCAUUUUUAACAAACCACUGUGGUAUGUUAAACUAAUAUACAUAUACUUAUAUAUAUACUGUAUGUAUAUAUAUAUAUAUUGCCUAUAUGUCGACAUUAAGACAUUAAGCAUUAAUUAUAACUAAACGGAAACGACCCGAGGAGGACGCGCGCCGUUACGUUUCUCAGUCCUUUUGCAGUAUCCUAUGUUCAAAGUGUUUAAACUAAUUUCGUUAUCACUAUGGACAACAAACUAUAUAAUUAUACGAUACAAAAAUUUUCCGAACCACCACAUCGCGAAGUGUCCCCGCGAAGAAACGCGUCAUUAGAAAAUAAUGAUAUUACUGCUGUUAGUGCCAAUAAUGUCUAGCUAUUAUAAUUACUAUAUUGUUAUACUACGAUCAAUAUCCCUCUUUUAUUUAUUUCACGUGUUAAGUUGUAAUUUAUUGUACACACGCUUAUCCCGAGCCGCCGCACAAGCUCUUGCCGGCCGAUAAGUUACAAUUUUUCUUUUACGUUCCCAGGUAGUAGUGUCGGACGCAAGUCGGACGAAGCAAGAUCGUUGUAAUAUAACGGAAAACUAUUAGCUUCUUUUAUAUAUAUAUAUAUAUAUAUAUUCGCGAAAUCUCGAUCGUUACUGCAAUGACGAUCGGAAACGAGAACUCGAGCGAAUGUGUAAGUGUAUCCUAUAUGCGACCGGAGCUCACACGAAACACUUUAAAACAAUAAACGACAUUAUAUUUAUUUUUCGUUACUUUCGUUGAUACAUCCUGUUUUGUAACGCUUUACGUUACGUCGACUCCGUGAGAGAUAUGUUGUAUUCGUCCAGUGGAUUAAACAGAUGCUAAUACCUGAUCACAGCAUGAAACAAAAUGUGUUACCGUCUGGCUGGUAGUUCCUGUUCGUUUUCCGUUGUGUGCGUUUCUCAGAAACUCAGUCGUCAGAACUUGCCGCAGUUUCCACCAGUGUUUUAUUCGUUGUCUCUGAUUUUUUUCUUCUGUUUUUCCACGCAUUAGAAUUUGUUCAGCGGGAGUCCUACAGAGAAGGUCUGAUCUUUGAGCUGUGAAAAAGUAAAUAACGCUAUGCCACUGCUAUAUACCUCGCUUCGAUCAUCCAUUCGCGUUGUCGAUGCGAGUCGGUGCGGACGGUAAUGCAGACGAAUCCCUUUUACGAAUCUUGUUUGUAUUUUAGUCGAGGAGACGUAGUCGUAUGCGACAUGCCGAAACAAGUGUUCUUCUUGAGUAUAAAUCGCAUUGUAAAUAGUUAAAGUUAAGUAUGCCAGAAAGUAAUUGCGUAUCGUAAUAUGUAGAGAGAACAUUUUUUACUGCACGCAUAUAAGAUUAUCGUAAUGUCGUCUUGUAAUUUUCGCGCAGUUAUUUAUACGAUACAUUGUACUUGAUUGUAUAAAUUUAAUCUUUAUUAUGCAAAACGGAA